GACGAACGCUGGCGGCAGACCUAACACAUGCAAGUCGAGCGAGCGGCGGACGGGAGGGUAUUGUCUGGGAAAAUGCCUGGUGGAAGGGGGUCACUACCGGAAACGGUGACUAAUACCGCGUACCAUCCGACGUGCCCACAUGGGAGUAGCGGGUAGGUGGGGUAACGGCUCACCUAGGCGACGAUCCCUAGCUGGGCUGAGAGGAUGACCGGACCCACUGAAACUGAGGCACGGUCCAGUCGCCGACGGUCGGCACCAGUGGGGAACAUUGCACAACGGGCGCAACCCUGUUGCAGCCAUGCCGCGGGUGUAAAGAAGGCCUUCGGGUUGUAACGCACUUUCAGCGAGGAGGCGUGACCGGCAGAUGAAGCACCUGCUAACUCCGUGCCAGCAGCCGCGGUAAUUC
rnacentral:rRNA from 1 species